GCAGACAGUAUGAGGUAAAUAAUGUGUUGUUUGAACAUUACAGCAUGUAAACAUGUUCUAGUAGAAACACAAAAUACAAGUAUGAACCUGAAAAUGGGCACAAUAUGUCCCCUUUACUCAAACACCAUACGGUAAGUAGUCGCUCUGACACGCAGAAGGCAUGUGAUGAUUCUGUUAGUUUAGUUUUUGGUUGUUGGAUUUUUUGUGUUUGCUUGCUCUCUUUUCCCCUUCCCCUCUGUAUUUUCCUCCUGGCAGGGCAUGUGUUAGGCAGGGGGUGUGGCUGGCUCCGCCUUCGGCAGCAGACGAGGCUCACCAAGUUCCACUCAAAUCAUCAACCUCCCCAUAAAAGCCUGGUCUCCACUCCACUACGGUGCCUAAUAAUUCCGCACGUUCGGAGAUAUUUACAAAUGAAUGUCAUAUUUAACUCAAACACCAUACGGUAAGUAGUCGCUCUGAGACGCAGAAGGCAGCCAGAUCAACUUGUGACCACACUAUCCGUGUUCUUCAGACCAUCUGAUUUCCAACACAAAUAAGCGUCCGUUUAAAAUGUGUCAUUGUAUUCCUGCAAAUCAAUGGAGCAAAUGUUUAUGUUGUUGUAUUCACGUGGAAAUAAUGAAGUUUGAAGAUCUCGCAUCAGCUGGGCGAUAAAGAAAAUGUUUUCAGACCAACAAUGCAUUGGAUUGAGAAUUGACCCAGACAACAACACAGAAGUCAAACACUCAAGUUAAAUUCAUUAAGGAGAGGUCAACAAAUUUAGCUUGUAGCAAAUCAAUCUACACAACAUAUGACCCUCUCAAAGGGAAAAACAUACUAUUUACACAAAGCAGCCGUUUAACACAGGUUGUUUCUAAGAUUAAGUAUACAUUUAUGUUAGUAGCUAUUCAAUUUAAGAGUUAAGAUUAUCAGUUAUAGAAAACAUACACUAACCUAUAAUAUAUGACCAGAAGUAUAUGAAAACCCAAACAUACACCCAUAUGUGAUUGUUGACCAUACAUGGGCAUUAACCACAUGAAGUUGCCAGAUUCAAAAUGGAAGAGCUCAUCAAAACAAGCCUUUGGCCAAUCAGUCCAUUACCACCAAUUUAUGGAAACAUAUAUAAGGUUGUGGAGAAGUUGGAACUGUGUUGAAAGUAGGGCGAAAGAAAAGAAGGAGAAAACACAGUAAGAAAACGGAAGAAAAACUUGUCAAGGAAAUUAUGGACUUCAAAGUUCAUAAUGGCUUUCCUGAGGGCCUCACUAAGCAACAGAGGUACACAAUAAAAAGAAUAGCUUCAACAUAUGUGCUCAAGGGUAAGUAUUAAUGUUAUAUACCAUCAAUCACAAUAUGUCAUUUUGUUCUGUUUCAUUAAGAUUAAAUUGAGCUCUUUCUGACCAGAUGGAGUUCUCCACUACAUAUGCAGACGACGUAAAGAAAAGGAGCAUUUGGCCAAUGUGGUAUUAUCAGCUGCCGAGGCCAGCGGGCCAGUCUUAAGAAAAAGACCCAGUACAACCCAAUAGAGGUAACCGAGCCAUUUGAACCUGUUGGAAUGGACCUAUUGAGGUUAACUGUAACUGAGGGUGGUAAUCAAUACAUUUGUGUAAUGGUUGAUUAUUUCACAAAGUGGGCAGAGACCUACCCUCUGAAGAAUAAGUCUGCAGAGCAGGUGACCAAUUGUAUUCUUGAUUUUGUAUACAAAUUUGGUUCACCUCAGAGACUGCUUACAGACCAGGGGACAGAG